AGCGAACGCUGGCGGCAGGCUUAACACAUGCAAGUCGAACGGGCGUAGCAAUACGUCAGUGGCAGACGGGUGAGUAACGCGUGGGAACGUACCUUUUGGUUCGGAACAACACAGGGAAACUUGUGCUAAUACCGGAUAAGCCCUUACGGGGAAAGAUUUAUCGCCGAAAGAUCGGCCCGCGUCUGAUUAGCUAGUUGGUGAGGUAACGGCUCACCAAGGCGACGAUCAGUAGCUGGUCUGAGAGGAUGAUCAGCCACAUUGGGACUGAGACACGGCCCAAACUCCUACGGGAGGCAGCAGUGGGGAAUAUUGGACAAUGGGCGCAAGCCUGAUCCAGCCAUGCCGCGUGAGUGAUGAAGGCCCUAGGGUUGUAAAGCUCUUUUGUGCGGGAAGAUAAUGACGGUACCGCAAGAAUAAGCCCCGGCUAACUUCGUGCCAGCCGCCGCAGUAAAAC
rnacentral:rRNA from 1 species